rnacentral:rRNA from 1 species
AUGAACGCUAGCUACAGGCUUAACACAUGCAAGUCGAGGGGCAUCAGGAAGAAAGCUUGCUUUCUUUGCUGGCGACCGGCGCACGGGUGAGUAACACGUAUCCAACCUGCCCUUUACUCGGGGAUAGCCUUUCGAAAGAAAGAUUAAUACCCGAUGGCAUAAUGAUUCCGCAUGGUUUCAUUAUUAAAGGAUUCCGGUAAAGGAUGGGGAUGCGUUCCAUUAGGUUGUUGGUGAGGUAACGGCUCACCAAGCCUUCGAUGGAUAGGGGUUCUGAGAGGAAGGUCCCCCACAUUGGAACUGAGACACGGUCCAAACUCCUACGGGAGGCAGCAGUGAGGAAUAUUGGUCAAUGGGCGCUAGCCUGAACCAGCCAAGUAGCGUGAAGGAUGAAGGCUCUAUGGGUCGUAAACUUCUUUUAUAUAAGAAUAAAGUGCAGUAUGUAUACUGUUUUGUAUGUAUUAUAUGAAUAAGGAUCGGCUAACUCCGUGCCAGCAGCCGCGGUAAUACGGAGGAUCCGAGCGUUAUCCGGAUUUAUUGGGUUUAAAGGGAGCGUAGGUGGACUGGUAAGUCAGUUGUGAAAGUUUGCGGCUCAACCGUAAAAUUGCAGUUGAUACUGACAGUCUUGAGUACAGUAGAGGUGGGCGGAAUUCGUGGUGUAGCGGUGAAAUGCUUAGAUAUCACGAAGAACUCCGAUUGCGAAGGCAGCUCACUGGACUGCAACUGACACUGAUGCUCGAAAGUGUGGGUAUCAAACAGGAUUAGAUACCCUGGUAGUCCACACAGUAAACGAUGAAUACUCGCUGUUUGCGAUAUACAGUAAGCGGCCAAGCGAAAGCAUUAAGUAUUCCACCUGGGGAGUACGCCGGCAACGGUGAAACUCAAAGGAAUUGACGGGGGCCCGCACAAGCGGAGGAACAUGUGGUUUAAUUCGAUGAUACGCGAGGAACCUUACCCGGGCUUAAAUUGCAGUGGAAUGAUGUGGAAACAUGUCAGUGAGCAAUCACCGCUGUGAAGGUGCUGCAUGGUUGUCGUCAGCUCGUGCCGUGAGGUGUCGGCUUAAGUGCCAUAACGAGCGCAACCCUUAUCUUUAGUUACUAACAGGUCAUGCUGAGGACUCUAGAGAGACUGCCGUCGUAAGAUGUGAGGAAGGUGGGGAUGACGUCAAAUCAGCACGGCCCUUACGUCCGGGGCUACACACGUGUUACAAUGGGGGGUACAGAAGGCAGCUAGCGGGUGACCGUAUGCUAAUCCCAAAAUCCUCUCUCAGUUCGGAUCGAAGUCUGCAACCCGACUUCGUGAAGCUGGAUUCGCUAGUAAUCGCGCAUCAGCCACGGCGCGGUGAAUACGUUCCCGGGCCUUGUACACACCGCCCGUCAAGCCAUGGGAGCCGGGGGUACCUGAAGUACGUAACCGCAAGGAUCGUCCUAGGGUAAAACUGGUGACUGGGGCU